UACGGGGGGGGCAAGCGUUGUUCGGAAUUACUGGGCGUAAAGGGUUUGUAGGUGGCUUGUUAAGUCAGACGUGAAAUCCCUCAGCUUAACUGGGGAACUGCGUCUGAGACUGGUGAGCUUGAGUGCAGGAGAGGAAUGCGGAAUUCCAGGUGUAGCGGUGAAAUGCGUAGAUAUCUGGAGGAACACCGGUGGCGAAGGCGGCGUUCUGGACUGCAACUGACACUGAAAAACGAAAGCCAGGGGAGCAAACGGG
rnacentral:rRNA from 1 species